GAUGAACGCUGGCGGCGUGCCUAAUACAUGCAAGUCGAGCGAACAGACGAGGAGCUUGCUCCUCUGACGUUAGCGGCGGACGGGUGAGUAACACGUGGAUAACCUACCUAUAAGACUGGGAUAACUUCGGGAAACCGGAGCUAAUACCGGAUAACAUGUUGAACCGCAUGGUUCAACAGUGAAAGACGGUCUUGCUGUCACUUAUAGAUGGAUCCGCGCCGCAUUAGCUAGUUGGUAAGGUAACGGCUUACCAAGGCAACGAUGCGUAGCCGACCUGAGAGGGUGAUCGGCCACACUGGAACUGAGACACGGUCCAGACUCCGACGGGAGGCAGCAGUAGGGAAUCUUCCGCAAUGGGCGAAAUCCUGACGGAGCAACGCCGCGUGAGUGAAGAAGGUCUUCGGAUCGUAAAACUCUGUUAUUAGGGAAGAACAAAUGUGUAAGUAACUAUGCACGUCUUGACGGUACCUAAUCAGAAAGCCACGGCGAACUACGU
rnacentral:rRNA from 1 species